rnacentral:rRNA from 1 species
AUUGAAUGCUGGCGGCAUGCUUUACACAUGCAAGUCGAACGGUAACAGGCCGCAAGGUGCUGACGAGUGGCGAACGGGUGAGUAAUGCAUCGGAACGUGCCCAGUCGUGGGGGAUAACUACUCGAAAGAGUAGCUAAUACCGCAUACGAUCUAUGGAUGAAAGCGGGGGACCGUAAGGCCUCGCGCGAUUGGAGCGGCCGAUGUCAGAUUAGGUAGUUGGUGGGGUAAAGGCUCACCAAGCCAACGAUCUGUAGCUGGUCUGAGAGGACGACCAGCCACACUGGGACUGAGACACGGCCCAGACUCCUACGGGAGGCAGCAGUGGGGAAUUUUGGACAAUGGGCGCAAGCCUGAUCCAGCAAUGCCGCGUGCAGGAAGAAGGCCUUCGGGUUGUAAACUGCUUUUGUACGGAACGAAACGGCUCUGGUUAAUACCCGGGGCUAAUGACGGUACCGUAAGAAUAAGCACCGGCUAACUACGUG